rnacentral:rRNA from 1 species
GACAGAGGGUGCAACCGUUGCUCGGAAUUACUGGGCGUAAAGGGCGUGUAGGCGGGCAGGCAAGUCGGGCGUGAAAUCCCCAGGCUCAACCUGGGAACUGCACUCGAAACUGCCUUUCUUGAGUGCCGGAGAGGAAAGCGGAAUUCCUGGUGUAGAGGUGAAAUUCGUAGAUAUCAGGAGGAACACCAGUGGCGAAGGCGGCUUUCUGGACGGUAACUGACGCUGAGACGCGAAAGCGUGGGGAGCAAACAGG